rnacentral:misc_RNA from 1 species
UCCGAGUUGUCCCCGGCAGUCCUCUUAGAGUCCCCACCAUUACGUGCUGGCAACAUAGAACGAGGGUUGCGCUCGUUGCGGGACUUAACCCAACAUCUCACGACACGAGCUGACGACAACCAUGCACCACCUGUGCACGGCCCUUACGGACCCCACAUCUCUGCGAGAUUUCCGUGCAUGUCAAGCCUAGGUAAGGUUCUUCGCGUUGCAUCGAAUUAAGCAACAUGCUCCGCCGCUUGUGCGGGCCCCCGUCAAUUCCUUUGAGUUUUAGCCUUGCGGCCGUACUCCCCAGGCGGGGCGCUUAAUGCGUUAGCUACGGCACGGAACCCGUGGAAGGGAUCCCACACCUAGCGCCCAACGUUUACGGCGUGGACUAC